GCCAUCGGCCGAGGAUAAUACGGAGGAUGCGAGCUUUAUCCGCAUUGAUUGGGUUUGAAGGGUGCGUAGGUGAACAAAUAAGUCGUGGGAGAAAUUCUGCAGCUUAAUGGUAGACUUGGCAUUGAAACUGUUGGACUGGAGUAUAGGCAAGGGAAGGCCGAAUGUGUAUAUGUGACGCUUCAAAUGCUUAAAUAUUACACACCAACGGCGAUUGCGACUGACUCUUGCUGGACUAAUACUGACGCUCAGGCACGAGAGCAUGAAGAUCGAUCAGGAUUACAUGCCGUGCUCGCCCACAACGUAGACUACGAUCCACUCGCUUUUCCCAAUAUACAGUAACCGGCUAAGCAAAAGACUUUAAUGGAUCGCCCGGGGCAUACCGGCGUAAAGCUUAAAAUCAAAGGAAUUGACCCGGGCC
rnacentral:rRNA from 1 species